UAGGGAAUUUUCCGCAAUGGGCGAAAGCUUGACGGAGCAACGCCGCGUGAGUGAUGAAGGUCUUCGGAUCGUAAAACUCUGUUAUCAGGGAAGAACAAAUGUGUAAGUAACUAUGCACGUCUUGACGGUACCUAAUCAGAAAGCCACGGCUAACUACGUGCCAGCAGCCGCGGUAAUACGUAGGUGGCAAGCGUUAUCCGGAAUUAUUGGGCGUAAAGCGCGCGUAGGCGGUUUUUUAAGUCUGAUGUGAAAGCCCACGGCUCAACCGUGGAGGGUCAUUGGAAACUGGAAAACUUGAGUGCAGAAGAGGAAAGUGGAAUUCCAUGUGUAGCGGUGAAAUGCGCAGAGAUAUGGAGGAACACCAGUGGCGAAGGCAACUUUCUGGUCUGUAACUGACGCUGAUGUGCGAAAGCGGGGGGAUCAAACAGG
rnacentral:rRNA from 1 species